CUACCCUUGACAUGUAUGGAACCUGGCUGAGAGGUCGGGGUGCCCGAAAGGGAGCCAUAACACAGGUGCUGCAUGGCUGUCGUCAGCUCGUGUCGUGAGAUGUUGGGUUAAGUCCCGCAACGAGCGCAACCCUUGUCCCUAGUUGCUACGCAAGAGCACUCUAGGGAGACUGCCGGUGACAAACCGGAGGAAGGUGGGGAUGACGUCAAGUCCUCAUGGCCCUUAUGGGUAGGGCUUCACACGUCAUACAAUGGUCGGAACAGAGGGUCGCCAACCCGCGAGGGGGAGCCAAUCCCAGAAAACCGAUCGUAGUCCGGAUCGCACUCUGCAACUCGAGUGCGUGAAGCUGGAAUCGCUAGUAAUCGCGGAUCAGCAUGCCGCGGUGAAUACGUUCCC
rnacentral:rRNA from 1 species